AGAUGUGAGGGCGAUCUGGCUGUGAGGACUGUCACCCCAUUGAUUGCCAGAGUUGAUUCGGCUAGGCGGGUGUCCCCUUCCUCCCUCAACCCUUCAUGUGUGUCCCUCCUGAAGCCCCGUGCUCUGUGGAAGGGGACCACCACCCACCCGACAGAGGGGGACCGUUCUUCGGUCCCCUGCUAGAACCUCCAAACAAGCUCUCGAGGGCUCUGCUACAAUUUAAGGAAAUGUACAGUGGUGUCCCCUUGAAUUUUUCUCACUUUUUCUUUGGACUAAGGACUCUCCUGAAUUUCAAGUUUG
rnacentral:snRNA from 1 species